UCCUCUUUGCCUCCCCUCCCCCUUCCUUGAUUCUAGAAUCUACAACCCUUACCUGCCUUAAGUGUGCUAUGCAGACACACCCGGCAAUCCUGCAUCAACCAAUCACAGACAAGGGAGAGACACCCAGGAGGUGUACUUCCUGUAUUUGGUGAGAGAAGAAUGGAGCAGGAGAGAGAGAGAGAGAGAGUGAGAGCGAGAUAGUGAGUCAGCUAGCUUUAUCUCGGGGUCAACAGUAACUGAUCACGUCAGUGUUGGAGGAAGGAGAACAGAUUGAUUUGUGAGAUACAGUCCGCAGCCUUUCAUUUACUUUGUCCAGAUUCCUCUGUUCAUUAACAGCGGCUGUGAAGACAAGACAGAGACAAAAAGAGGAGGGGAAAGAUAAGUGUCAAUCUGUUCAGACUUGUUUGGGAAUUUGAGCAGGGAAGGAGGGAGGAGGGGUGAAACAGCAAGAGGGAGAAGAGCAGAGGAGAGAGGUUGACAGACAUACCGAGAAGGAAACAGAUGCGGAGAGAAACAGAGGGUCAGGAUUGGAUUAAAGUUUAAAUAGAACUUUGUUCGCCAUUCUGACGCCCCCCCCCCCCAGCAGAUCUGGAGAGGAAGGAGGAUUGCUUGUGUUGUGCAAUCGUUGUUAGUUUACACUACUGAACUAACUGAGAGCUGCAGAGAGAAGGGAGACUGGACAUCUCUAGCGUACUAAACUCAGGUUCUAAAAAAGUAUGUUACCAUGGGGACCAAACGUCCCAGUCUGACUCCCUUUGAUACAUUUGAUCCAUCCAAUCAAAGCGCUUCCUACCGGAACCCUCAGCCAAUCAGCCAGAUCUGCCGCGAAACAAGUCCCAGACCUGGAACUCCGGCCCGGACAGACAGAGAGAGGGAGAGGAUCCGAGAGGAGGAAUGGAGGAGAGAAAGAGAAAUGGAGAGAUUGAAGGACAAAACAAGAAAUAGAAGAAAAGAGAUGGAACCCGGACCAAGAGAGAGGAACAGAGAGAAGGAGUGUGCCCUCAUAUCCAGAGGGAGGGAGGAGGAAAGGGAAUGGAGAGAGAGAGAAAGGGGGGGAGCGGGAGAGAGACGUGCCAAUGGAAGACCUACUUCAAAUCUGGAGAUCAGGAACCACAGAGACAGAGAAAAGGAGAGAAAGAAAGGAGACACGUUUCCUAGAAUGGUAAAACAUAGCAAAGAGAGAGACAGAAGAAUGAGUGCAUUUGUGGAGGAAGAUGUGGGGAAAGAAGGAAUGAGACAAUUGGAGAGACAGAAGGGAACAGAGAUGGACGACUGGGAGAGAGAACGAGAGACAGCAGCAAAGAUACAGCGGUAUCGAGAUGCAGAGAGGGACUUCCAAAGGCACAGGGAGAGGGAGAGGGAGAGAAUCAGGGCACAGGAGGACAGAGAGAAAAAUGGAGGGAGGCCCAUGGAGGAUAAGACCGUGAGACGGAGGGAGAGAGCGAGGGAAGCGGAGCCAGAUUUCAGAGAGAGGAGAAGAGAGAGGGAUUCAAAGGGUAAUGACCUAUGGAGCAAAAGAGAGAGGUAUAUGGAUGGAGAGAGAGAGAGGUCAAAACUACGGCAGGGAGAAAGAGAGGAUGGAAGAAGAGAGGGAGAUUCACAGAACUAUUCGGAUAGAGAGGGCAGGGAUGGAAGGAGGGAAGGAAAUACCGAGGGACAGAGGGACACCAGGAGUGAGGGAGACAGUGAUGGAGAGAAGAGGAAAGAGAGAGUGAGAGAUGACAACAGAAGAGAACUGAAACAUCUGCACAGUAAAAGUGAGGGGGACACUGAGGGGAACGCAGCAUGGGAUAGAGUGAGGGAGAAAGAGAAGGAGAGACAGAAAUGGAGAGGGGGGGAGAUAUACAGAGAGAGGGAUGGAAGGAGAGAUGCUUAUAGACAGAGAGUUAGGGAAGGGGACAGGGAUGGAAAGAGUGACAUGGAGAGAUACAGAGAGAGGGACAGGAGAAAAGUGAGGGAAGUGGAGAGAGAGAGGGAUGAGGUGAGAGAAGGGGCCAGGCGAGAGGACAGACCAAGGGAAAGGAGGGACCUAGAGAAAGUGAGGGUGGGAACACAGCCCAAUGUAACAGGAGAGAGAGGGAAGCGUAUGGAUGGAGAGAGACGCAGAGAGAGGGAGAGAUAUUCCAAGGAGGAGGAUGAAGAGAGAUUCAGAGAGAGGGAGAGAUAUUCCAAGGAGGAGGAUGAAGAGAGAUUCAGAGAGGGGGAGAGAUAUUCCAAGGAGGAGGAUGAAGAGAGAUUCAGAGAGAGGGAGAGAUAUUCCAAGGAGGAGGAUGAAGAUAGGAGGUGCAGGGAGAAGAGGGACAGAGAGACAGAUCCCAAAAGGGAGGGAGGAGCAGACGGAGCUAGUCGACCGCUGAGCGAGACAGCCCCAAGGGUGCCACCACGAGUCCAGAGCAGCGGAGAAUGGAGCAGUGACAUAGAGAGGGAAAGAAAAUGGAGAAGAGGAAGAGAAAGUCAUGAAGAGAAGGAGUCAGAGGGAGAGAAGGAUGUGGACAAGGGGCAGAGAGACUGUAGUGAAAGAGAGAGACUAGAUAGAGUGAGGGGGAGAGAAGAAGGAAAGGAAGAGACGAUACCAAAGCGCCCUGAGCAGAGGAGGAUGUGGUUAUUACCACAGAGGGUCAGAUAUAACAAAGACUCCUCUUUAGAGGAUGAGGUUAUAGAACGAGAAAGAGAUAGGCACACUAACAGAUGGAGAGAGAGAAGUGAAGAAGAGGACAGAUCCGUGGAACAAAGGACAGGCAGAGAUAAAGAGAGGAAGACAGAGGGAGAAGGACAAGAGGAUAGGUCGGUGGAACAAAGAAAGUCCAUAGACGAAGAGAGAGAAACUGAUAGGGAGGGAGGGAGGGAGAGGUAUUUGGAGAGAGGGUUAAAUGUAGAUGAAGACAAUGAGACAGAAGCCUGGAGGAGUUAUAGCAGAGGAGAGGAACACCAGACUUACAGCGAUGGAGAGAGAGAGGAACGCUGGCAGAGGGACAGGGAGACAGAGAGAGAGAAUGUGACAGAUAACACAGAAGGUGACAGAGAGAAAGAAGGAGGAAGUGAUAGAUAUAUACUCUUCGAGAGCGAUGGAGGAAGUGAUAGAGAGUGGGAAGGAGGGAGGGAUAGAAUCCCUUCCUCUGAGGACGGCUUUAUCACUGUGUCCAGUGGUGGAGAAGAGGAGUUUGAGGACUGCAAGGAAUUCUUGGAAGUUGGGGUUGCUAUUCAUGUUACCAGGCAACCUGUUAGCUUUCAGGGGAGCGAGGGAGAGAUGAAGAGAGGUGGAGGGAGAAGACAUGAAAGAGAGAGAGAAAGAACAGAAGAGAGGACAGAGCAAAAGGAUGAUGCAGUGGUGGGAGAGGUGAAUGAUGGAAAGGGGAAGAAGCCACCCACCUAUGUAUUCUGUGUGAUUGGACAAACACUGCCCAGGUCAAAACCAAAUCAGACAGCAGUCUUGGGUGACAUGGAAUCAGAGCGGACCAAUCAAAAUCCUGGAUAUGGUCAUAGGGACAGUGAUGACAUCACACACCUCCCUCAUGAGAACCCUUCCAGAGAUGGAGACCAAGGGGCAGAGGAUGAGAGAAAAAUAGUGAGGGAUGAGAUCCAUGUGCCAAAGGAGGAGAGAACAGACACAGAAGAGAGCUCCAUAGUGGACGUCAGUCACACCACCCUAGAACGAGAGAGCGGAGAAAGACUGAAGGUCAUGGAGGAGAACCCAUACGCUGAGAUAGAGCGAAGGAGGAACUCUGAGACCGAAAAACUCCUCAAAGAGUGGAGAGAAAGACAUGAAGAGUACACAGAAACAAGAGAGAGGGACCCAACAGACAGGAGGAGGAUAGAACCAGAGAUAGGUCCAUCUUCGCAUCCCAGUGGAGAGUACCACCACCAUGGGAUCCCUGUAGUUGACCAAGCCACCUCUGACCAGAAUGACCCUGUAGUGAUGAGCCCAGAGGAAGCUGUGGCCAUCCAGAUCUGUAUAAGGGGAGCCUGGAGCACAGAAGAGGAGGCCAAGCGCCACUCCCCGGCCUCACACAUGAAGUGGGCCAAGAACGUAUUGAGUGAGAUCCUUGGCAGCUCGGAGGAACCAGCCCUCGGCAACCCACAGCCAGAGUCACAGGGAGGUCAAGAGGUCAGCCAGACUACGAGAGGGACCGAGAGGGUAGAAGUGGAGUUAGAGGAAGAAAAGGAUGAGACGCUAGAGGGGGGAGGAGCCUCACCCGUCUACGCCACGGUUCAGAAGAGGAAGAAGCGUGGGAGGAAGUCGGUGGAGGAGAGGCUGGCUGAACAGGAGGCAGAGCCAGGGAAGGUGGAGGAUGAGAGAGGUACAGGGGAGAAACUAACAGACGUGCAUGCUGAGGCUUUCACAGCUAUGCUUGGUGAUGGCAAACCCAUAGACAUGCAUGCUGCCCUGACCCUACACAAUACUCAUGGUGACACACCUACAGACACACAGGGAGAGGAGGUGGAGGGUAACAAUGUGUGUGCGGACAGACAAACAGACAGUCAUAUACAUAUCCAGGUAGAGAUGGUGACAGAGGAUGAGGGUGAGAUGGAGAAAGGGGUCGAAGUUGGGGACGAGGUUCAUAUACUGGAUGCAGAGAAAGAAGUGAAUGCCCAGAAAGAGGAAGAUCUGUUUCUCUCUGUGAGCAACACCCUGUACAAACCAACCAGCUGCCCCAGCCUUAUAUACAACCCUGAUUCAGAACAACCUAUCACCACCAUAGAGGAAAAGACAGAGGAAGAAGGGGAGAAAGAGAGGACUGUGGGAGAGGGGAAGCAGGAAAGGAGGAUAGAGGAUGGGACCGAGGACAGGGGGAAAGUGGGAGAGGUGACUGAGGAGAGGAAAGUGGAAAGGGAGGAGGAGAAGAGGGUAGGAGGGGAAGAGGAGAGGAUGAGGGAGGGCAAGGAAGAGAGUAAAAAAACGGGAGGAGGGAAGGUGAAGAGCACUUGUAGCUUCCAAGAUUUGGGCACCGAUGUUCGAUAUAGGAGGCGGGGGUUCCGCAAGACAACAGAAAGAAGAAACGAGGAAGAAGAAGGAGGAAGAGGAGAUGCGAGGGAUCGCAGAACAAGAAUAUUCCAGGUGUCAGAUGAUGAGGAGGAGGAGGUGAGCUUCAACUGGGGAGACGUGGACCUGAGGUGA
rnacentral:lncRNA from 1 species